rnacentral:tRNA from 1 species
GCAAAGGUAGCUUAACAGAAUAAAGCACAGCACUGAAAAUGCUUCAAAGGAGGUUAAAGUCCUUCCCUUAGCA